rnacentral:lncRNA from 1 species
AACUGGCAGGUGUCAUCUGACCUUGACCUCAUUUUCAUGGUUCAGUGGUUGUAGUUAGGUUUUUGUGUUUUGGUCUGUUUUUCAUAUACAUGUACUGUAUGCAAUAGGUCUACUAUAUUUAGUGUAUGGAAUGAUAAGGUGAACAUGUCUAGCUGACAGGUGUCAUCUGACCUUAACCUCAUUUUCAUGGUUCAGUGGUUGUAGUUAGGUUUUUGUGUUUUGGUCUGUUUUUCUUAUACAUGUACUGUAUGCAAUAGGUCUACUAUAUUUAGUGUAUGGAAUGAU